UGGGGAAUCUUGCACAAUGGAGGGAACUCUGAUGCAGCGACGCCGCGUGAACGAAGAAGGCUUUCGAGUCGUAAAGUUCUUUUAUAUGGGAAGAUAAUGACGGUACCAUAAGAAAAAGCCACGGCUAACUACGUGCCAGCAGCCGCGGUAAUACGUAGGGGGCUAGCGUUGUCCGGAAUCACUGGGCGUAAAGGGUUCGCAGGCGGAAAUGCAAGUCAGGUGUAAAAGGCAGUAGCUUAACUACUGUAAGCAUUUGAAACUGCAUAUCUUGAGAAGAGUAGAGGUAAGUGGAAUUUUUAGUGUAGCGGUGAAAUGCGUAGAUAUUAAAAAGAAUACCGGUGGCGAAGGCGACUUACUGGGCUCAUUCUGACGCUGAGGAACGAAAGCGUGGGUAGCAAACAGG
rnacentral:rRNA from 1 species